UUACUUUAAUAUAGUAAUUACAAUCAAAUAUAAAUAUUUUAACUUGAUUUGUAACAAAAUGUGUUUUGUGAUCUGAUCUGCUUUUGAAAUUUCAAUAUAACACGUAGUCACAAAAAAUAAAUUGAAAAACAUCUCAUAAGAUGCACUUGAAAAUCUAUGUUUUAUUAUCUAGCAUUGGAUACAGAAACAGCAACAAUUAACAAUACAAUAUAAAAGUUAUUUUGCUAAGGAAUGGAAAUGCCCAAAAGAAUCAUCGAAAUAAAAUUCUCAUGUGGUGAAGAUGUGGUUCAUCCGACUUGAGUGAAAAAAAUUACUUUUACUAAUAAAAAUAAAUAAAUUGCUUCACCAAA